rnacentral:tRNA from 1 species
GGUGGGGUACCGAAGCGGUCAAACGGGGCAGACUGUAAAUCUGUUGGCUCAGCCUUCGAAGGUUCGAAUCCUUCCCCCACCACCA